GCNGGUGUAGCUCAAUGGUAGAGUUCUGGCCUUCCAAGCCAGCUGUGAGGGUUCGAUCCCCUUCACCCGCUCCA
rnacentral:tRNA from 1 species